CUCUCGAGGUGGGCGGCGGGCCGGGGUGGCUGGGCUGAGCGGCCGGCCGGGCACCGUCGGGGACGCCCUGGCUCGGCCUCGCGGGGCGGGAGCUGUGCGCUCGCCCUGGGACAGCGCCCCCGAGCCCAGGGCGCGGCCGGGGCGCGGGCGAGCGGGCGCCGCCCACACCUCGGCGGGCGCCUCCCUCUCCUCCCGCGCGCCCGCUGCUCCCUCGGGCCCCGGGCCUGGCUCCACACCCACCUGCUUCCCUCGGUGGCUCCCGCUCGGCGGGGCAGGAGGGUCCGCAUUCGGCGGGCGCCACGCACUGGGCGGCGGGGAAAGCCCGGGACGCCCCGCGUUCGAGCGCUGUGGUGGCUUCGCGGGAUUCCCUGGGCCCUGGUGCUUCCAGCUGCUGGGCUCUCCCCACGCCCGCCCUGACGCGACCCUGACACGGGGCCCGCUACUUGACCCCGGGAACCUAGGGUGAAGGGAGAUCGCUCCCGAGUGAUGGGGCCCAGAGUAUUUUCCCGGAGGAGUCAGGACUAACCCGGAGCGCCGAUGGGAUCUGACUUUCCUCCCAGCGCCUCCAGUAUGGAAACCUGGUUAAGAGAAAUGUGGGAGCUGCCAACCGCGAUCUACCUAAAGAAAAGAAAAGGAAAGAAAAGAAAAAAUGCAUUCCUGGUCCUAAAGGGGGAUGGAGAGAGAGAAUACAAGCAGGCAGAACAGCAGGCAGAGGGAGAGAGAGAAACAGGGUCCCCAUGGAGGAGGGAGCCCAAUGUGGGGCCAUGGACCAUGACCUGAGCUGAAGACAACUGCUUAGCUGACUGAGCCACCUAAGUGCCCCUGAUUUUAACGGUUUUUAAGUGUAUAGUUAAGUGGCAUUAAGUACAUUCAAUUGUUCGCAACCAUCACUAUUAUUCAUCUCCAGAACUUUCUCAUCAUCCCCAACUGAAACUCUAUAACAUUAAGCAGAAAAUACACAUUGCUCCCUUCCCUCAGACCCUGAUAACUACUAUUCAACUUUCUACCUUUAUGAAUUAGACUAUUCCAGGUACCUUAUAGAGGAAUCAUACAAUAUUUGACCUUUGUAUUUGGUUUAUGUUACUUGUUUUCAAGGCCCAUCCCUGUUGUAGCAUGUAUCAAAAUGCCAUCUCUUAAAAAAAAAAUGUCAUCUCUUCAAUGGCUGAAUAAUGUUCCAUUGUAUAUAUGUAUCACAUUUUGUUUAUCCAUUCAUCUGUCAAUGGAAGUUUGGUUUAUUUCUACCUUUUGGCUAUUGUGAAUAAUACUGCUGUGAACAUUGGUGUACAAAUAUCUGUUUGAGUCCCUGAUUUAAAUUCUUUUGAAUAAUACCCAGAAGUAGAAUUUCUGAUAUAUGUUUAAUUUUAUUAAGGAGCUGUAAUACUGUUUUGCACAGCAGCUGCACUGUUUUACAUUCACACCAGCAACGCACAAGCAUUCCAGUUUCUCUACAUCUUUACCAACACGUGUUACUUUUGUAUUUGUUUGUUUAUAAUAACCAUCUUAGGGUAUGAAGUGGUAUCACAUUGUGGUUUUGAUUUUCAUUAAUACUUAGUGAUGUUAAGCAUCUUUUCCUGUGUUUAUUGAGCAUUUAUGUCUUUUCUUUAAAGAACUGCCUAUUCAAACUCUUUGCCUAUUUUUUCUCCAGUUUGGAAUAUAAGGUUUUAUUGUAACUCUU